ACCGUGAGGGAAAGGUGAAAAGAACCUCUGUUAGAGGAGUGAAAUAGAAUCUGAAACCUGGUGCUUACAAGCUGUGAGAGCGGACUUGUUCCGUGAUCACGUGCCUUUUGCAUAAUGAGUCAGCGAGUUAAUCUGUACUGCAAGGUUAAGCGCAAGUGGAGCCGUAGGGAAACCGAGUCUGACAAGGGCGAUGAGUAGUGCGGAUUAGACCCGAAACCGGGUGAUCUAUCCAUGAGCAGGUUGAAGCAAGGGUAAAACCUUGUGGAGGACCGAACCAAUACCGGCUGAAAACGGUUUGGAUGACUUGUGGAUAGGGGUGAAAGGCCAAUCAAACCCGGUGAUAGCUGGUUCUCCCCGAAAUAUAUUGAGGUAUAGCCUCAUGGAUUGUCUACCGGAGGUAAAGCACUGACAGGGCUAGGGGUCCUACCAGAUUACCAAACCCUAUCAAACUCAGAAUGCCGGUCAGAUGUACCAUGGGAGUCAGACGGCGGGUGCUAAGGUCCGUCGUCGAAAGGGUAAGAGCCCAGAUCAACAGCUAAGGUCUCCAAAUCUAUGCUCAGUGGUUAAGGUGGUGACGUUGUAGAGACACCCAGGACGUUGGCUUAGAAGCAGCCAUCGUUUAAAGAAAGCGUAAUAGCUCACUGGUCUAAUGACGUUGCGCCGAAAAUGUAACGGGGCUAAGCAUAGUACCGAAGCUUUGAAUUCCGCGAAUGCGGUCUGGUAGGGGAGCGUUCUUCACGGGCUGAAGGUGUGUCGUAAGGCAUGCUGGACUGUGGAGAAGUGAUUAUGCUGACAUGAGUAACGAUAAAACGGGUGAAAAACCCGUUCGCCGUAAACCCAAGGUUUUCCGGGUAAAGGUAAUCUUCCCGGAGUUAGUCGGCCCCUAAGGCGAGGCUGAAAGGCGUAGCUGAUGGGAAACGUGUUAAUAUUCACGUACUUGUGUGUUCGCGCGAUGAAGGGACGCAGGAAGAUAGGCAAGCCGGGCGCUGGUUGUCCCGGUGCAAGCGUGUAGGGAUGAGAAAUUGGCAAAUCCGUUUCUCUCUAUCCUGAGACGCGAGUCCGUGACCGAAAGGUCUGAAGUUGUUGAGUCUAUGCUGCCUAGAAAAGCUUCUAAGUAUAGGACACGCAAACCGUACCGGAAACCAACUCAGGUGGGUGGGAUGAAUAAUCCAAGGCGCUCGAGAGAACUCUGGCCAAGGAACUCGGCAAAAUAACCCCGUACCUUCGGAAGAAGGGGUGCUUUUUAGGGUGAAGCGAUUCACUCUGUCGAGCCCUGAAAAGCCGCAGAGAAAUGGUGGUGGCGACUGUUUACUAAAAACAUAGGUCUGUGCCAAGUCGUAUAGACGACGUAUACGGACUGACGCCUGCCCGGUGCUGGAAGGUUAAAAGGAGGAGUCAGCGCAAGCGAAGCUCCGAAUUGAAGCCCCAGUAAACGGCGGCCGUAACUAUAACGGUCCUAAGGUAGCGAAAUUCCUUGUCGGGUAAGUUCCGACCUGCACGAAUGGCGUAACGAUCUCCACACUGUCUCGGCCAGAGACUCGGUGAAAUUGAAGUCGCGGUGAAAAUGCCGUGUACCCGCAGAAAGACGGAAAGACCCUGUGCACCUUUACUAUAGCUUGACAUUGGGAUUUGAGCCUGCAUGUGUAGCAUAGGUGGGAGGCUGUGAACUCUGUACGCCAGUAUGGAGGGAGCCAUCGUUGAAAUACCACCCUUGUUUGUUCAGGUCCCUAACUCUUCGCCGUGAUCCGGUAAGAGGACAGUGUCUGGUGGGUAGUUUGACUGGGGCGGUCGCCUCCCAAAAUGUAACGGAGGCAUGCAAAGGUUCCCUCAGGCUGAUUGGAAACCAGCCGUCGAGUGCAAACGCAAAAGGGAGCUUGACUGCAAGAGAGACAUCUCGAGCAGGUACGAAAGUAGGUGUUAGUGAUCCGGUGAUCCCGAAUGGAAGGGUCAUCGCUCAUUGGAUAAAAGGUACGCCGGGGAUAACAGGCUGAUCGCAUCCAAGAGUUCACAUCGACGAUGCGGUUUGGCACCUCGAUGUCGGCUCAUCACAUCCUGGGGCUGAAGCAGGUCCCAAGGGUACGGCUGUUCGCCGUUUAAAGUGGUACGCGAGCUGGGUUUAAAACGUCGUGAGACAGUUUGGUCCCUAUCUUCUGUGGGCGUAGGAGAAUUGAAAGGGCCUGUCCCUAGUACGAGAGGACCGGGAUGGACACACCACUGGUGGACCUGUUGUCGUGCCAACGGCACAGCAGGGUAGCUAUGUGUGGAAGGGAUAACCGCUGAAAGCAUCUAAGCGGGAAGCCUGCCUUAAGAUAAGUUCU
rnacentral:rRNA from 1 species